rnacentral:rRNA from 1 species
AUUGAACGCUGGCGGCAUGCCUUACACAUGCAAGUCGAGCGGCAGCGCGGGGGCAACCCUGGCGGCGAGCGGCGGACGGGUGAGUAAUACAUCGGAACGUGUCCUUUCGUGGGGGAUAACCAGUCGAAAGACUGGCUAAUACCGCAUGAGAUCUCACGAUGAAAGCGGGGGACCGCAAGGCCUCGCGCGAUUGGAGCGGCCGAUGUCGGAUUAGCUAGUUGGCGGGGUAAAAGCCCACCAAGGCUACGAUCCGUAG